rnacentral:rRNA from 1 species
AUUGAACGCUGGCGGCAGGCCUAACACAUGCAAGUCGAGCGAGCGGCGGACGGGUGAGUAAUGUCUGGGAAACUGCCUGAUGGAGGGGGAUAACUACUGGAAACGGUAGCUAAUACCGCAUACCAUCAGAUGUGCCCAGAUGGGAUUAGCUAGUAGGUGGGGCAAUGGCGCACCUAGGCGACGAUCACUAGCUGGGCUGAGAGGAUGACCAGCCACUGUGGAACUGAGACACGGUCCACACUUCUGCGGGGGGCAGCAGGGGGGCAUAUUGCACCAUGGGCUCAAGCCUGAUGCAGCCAUGCCGCGUGUAUGAAGAAGGCCUUCGGUUUGUAAAGUACUUUCAGCGAGGGGGCGUUACUCGGAGAAGAAGCACCGGCUAACUCCGUGCCAGCAGCCGCGGUAAU